UUCUUCUGUGGUUGGUCCUGUGUCUUCAUCCCUAAUUAUCUAAUCCUAAUAUUAAAUAUUUUAUUUUCUUGAGGUAUGUAGCUGACACAGAUUUUGAGUCAUGAGCUCUAUUAAAAAAAUUAAUUUUGCAUGAUAAAAUGAAAUUUUAAAUUUUGCAUGAUAGAGGAAGGUGCAUUUCAGCAAUGCUUACCCUAAAAUAAUAGUUUGAUUUACUGUAGUACAUCAUAGAAAGAUAAUUCUGCAUAGGCAACAAAUUGAAUCUAAUUAGAAAACUCCUUCAUGAUAAAAUGCAUUUCACACAGAGUAGUUUCUGUAUUUAGCAGAUGAACAGUAUACAUAAUGGACUAAGGAUCUAAAUAAGGUAUCGAGACAUUGAAAGUUUUGSUUUGAUUUCACCUUGAUGUAUCAGAAACUUCUCAAAGACCUAUUUGAAAAAAAAUUGUAACAGAAAGAUUGUAGAGAAAAUUGGCAGGAGAAGAUGUUAACAAAAAGGCCUGGAGCUCCGUUUGUAGGAUUCACAGUGUAAAGCCUGCAGAUACUCGUUUCUAAGGGACUUCCCACCUCCCCA